rnacentral:misc_RNA from 1 species
GAAAUGCGAUAAGUAAUGUGAAUUGCAGAAUUCAGUGAAUCAUCGAAUCUUUGAACGCACAUUGCGCCCAUUAGUAUUCUAGUGGGCAUGCCUAUUCGAGCGUCAUUUCGACCCUUAAGCCUAGUUGCUUAGUGUUGGGAAUUUACGGGCUUGCCCUGUAACUCCCGAAAGUUAGUGGCAGCGUUGCGGCAUUCUCUAAGCGUAGUAAAUUUUUUUCUCGCUUCUGUAGGUGCUGUAGCGGUCGCCAAUAUACCCAUAUGUUUUUUACGUGGUUGACCUCGGAUUAGGUAGGAGUACCCGCUGAACUUAAGC